GAAACGCAUGGCACGCACCGGGCCGGUGUGCCCGGUCAGCGGCAGGGCGGCGGGCGUUCGGGUCGCCGUGUCCCAC
rnacentral:tRNA from 1 species